rnacentral:rRNA from 1 species
CAAAUCAGGUAGGACUACCCGCUGAACUUAAGCAUAUCAAUAAGCGGAGGAAAAGAAACUAACAAGGAUUCCCCUAGUAACUGCGAGUGAAGCGGGAAAAGCUCAAAUUUAAAAUCUGGCGGUCUUUGGCCGUCCGAGUUGUAGUCUGGAGAAGCGUCUUCCGCGUUGGACCGUGUACAAGUCUCUUGGAACAGAGCGUCAUAGAGGGUGAGAAUCCCGUCUUUGACACGGACUACCAAUGCUUUGUGAUGCGCUCUCAAAGAGUCGCGUUGUUUGGGAAUGCAGCGCAAAAUGGGAGGUGAAUUCCUUCUAAAGCUAAAUAUUGGCGAGAGACCGAUAGCGAACAAGUACCGUGAGGGAAAGAUGAAAAGCACUUUGGAAAGAGAGUUAAACAGUACGUGAAAUUGCUAAAAGGGAAACGCUUGAAGUCAGUCGCGUCGUCCGGAACUCAGCUUUGCUUCGGCUUAGUGCACUUUCCGGUUGACGGGCCAGCAUCGAUUUUGACCGCUGGAAAAGGGCUGGAGGAAUGUGGCACCUUCGGGUGUGUUAUAGCCUUCAGUCGCAUACAGCGGUUGGGAUCGAGGAACGCAGCGCGCCUUAUGGCUGGGGUUCGCCCACAUUCGCGCUUAGGAUGCUGGCAUAAUG